GGGGAGGGGGGGGGGCGGGCGGUACACAGGGAAGGCGGACGGGGGCGCGGGCUUCGGCCUGGCGGCGAGUGGCGAACGGGUGAGGAAUGCAUCGGAACGUGCCCAGUAGUGGGGGGUAGCCCGGCGAAAGCCGGCUUAAUCACGCAUCCGACCUGCGGGUGCAAGCGGGGGACCGGAAGGCCUCGCGCUCUUGGAGCGGCCGAUGUCGGAUUAGCUAGUUGGUGGGGUAAAGGCUUACCAAGGCGACGAUCCGUAUCUGGUCUGAGAGGACGACCAGCCACACUGGGACUGAGACACGGCCCAGACUCCUACGGGAGGCAGCAGUGGGGAAUUUUGGACAAUGGGGGCAACCCUGAUCCAGCCAUGCCGCGUGCGGGAAGAAGGCCUUCGGGUUGUAAACCGCUUUUGUUCGGGAAGAAAUCCUCUGGGCUAAUACCCCGGGGGGAUGACGGUACCGGAAGAAUAAGCACCGGCUAACUACGUG
rnacentral:rRNA from 1 species